rnacentral:rRNA from 1 species
CCUACGGGAGGCAGCAGUGGGGAAUAUUGGACAAUGGGCGAAAGCCUGAUCCAGCAAUGCCGCGUGAGUGAUGAAGGCCUUCGGGUCGUAAAGCUCUUUUACCAGGGAUGAUAAUGACAGUACCUGGAGAAUAAGCUCCGGCUAACUCCGUGCCAGCAGCCGCGGUAAUACGGAGGGAGCUAGCGUUGUUCGGAAUUACUGGGCGUAAAGAGUACGUAGGCGGUUAUUCAAGUCAGAGGUGAAAGCCCGGGGCUCAACCCCGGAACUGCCUUUGAAACUAGAUAGCUAGAGUCUUGGAGAGGUUAGUGGAAUUCCGAGUGUAGAGGUGAAAUUCGUAGAUAUUCGGAAGAACACCAGUGGCGAAGGCGACUAACUGGACAAGUACUGACGCUGAGGUACGAAAGCGUGGGGAGCAAACAGGAUUAGAUACCCUGGUAGUCCACGCCGUAAACGAUGAUAACUAGUUGUUCGGUCACUUGGUGACUGAGUGACGCAGCUAACGCAUUAAGUUAUCCGCCUGGGGAGUACGGUCGCAAGAUUAAAACUCAAAUGAAUUGACGG